GCACUGCUCAGUAACACGUGGACAGCCUGCCCUGAGGACUGGAAUAAUCCCGGGAAACUGGGAGUAAUUCCAGAUAUGUCAGAACUCCUGGAAUGGGUUCUGGCAGAAAGGCUCCGGCGCCUCAGGAUGGGUCUGCGGCCUAUCAGGGUAGUAGUGGGUGUAACGUACCUACUAGCCUACGACGGGUACGGGUUGUGAGAGCAAGAGCCCGGAGAUGGAUUCUGAGACAUGAAUCCAGGCCCUACGGGGUGCAGCAGGCGCGAAAACUUUACAAUGCGGGCAACCGCGAUAAGGGGACCUCGAGUGCUGGGUUACAAACCUGGCUGUUGGGCUGCCUAAAAAGCAGUCUAUAGCAAGGGCCGGGCAAGACCGGUGCCAGCCGCCGCGGUAACACCGGCGGCUCGAGUGGUAACCGCUAUUAUUGGGUCUAAAGGGUCUGUAGCCGGCCGACUAAGUCUCUUGGGAAAUCUGGCAUCUCAAGUGUCAGGCUGCCAGGGGAUACUGGUCGGCUUGGGACCGGGAGAGGUGAGAGGUACCUCGGGGGUAGGGGUGAAAUCUUGUAAUCCUCGAGGGACCACCAGUGGCGAAGGCGUCUCACCA
rnacentral:rRNA from 1 species